rnacentral:rRNA from 1 species
ACUCCUACGGGAGGCAGCAGUGAGGAAUUUUGCGCAAUGGGGGAAAGCCUGACGCAGCGACGCCGCGUGAGUGACGAAGGCUUUCGGGUCGUAAAGCUCUGUCAAGUGGGAAGAACCUGCAGUAUGCUAAUAUCAUAUUGCACUGACGGUACCACUGAAGGAAGCACCGGCUAACUCCGUGCCAGCAGCCGCGGUAAUACGGGGGGUGCAAGCGUUAUUCGGAAUCAUUGGGCGUAAAGAGCACGUAGGCGGCUUGGUAAGUCAGAUGUGAAAGCCCGGGGCUUAACCCCGGAAGUGCAUUUGAUACUGUCAGGCUUGAGUAUGGGAGAGGGAAGUGGAAUUCCUGGUGUAGAGGUGAAAUUCGUAGAUAUCGGGAGGAAUACCGGUGGCGAAGGCGACUUCCUGGACCAAUACUGACGCUGAGGUGCGAAAGCGUGGGUAGCAAACAGGAUUAGAUACCCUGGUAGUCCACGCCGUAAACGAUGUCAACUAGGUGUAGCGGGGGUUAAUCCUCUCAUUGCCGGAGUUAACGCAUUAAGUUGACCGCCUGGGGAGUACGGUCGCAAGAUUAAAACUCAAAGGAAUUGACGG